CAGAACUUCUGCAUGAAAUUGCCAAAAACGAGAGUAACAAUUUGUAAUUGCUUCAUUUUGCUCCUGGAAACGCAGGUGCAGCCGGGCCUCCAAGGUGCUCUGCACAGCAAGGGAGUGGGCUGUUCUCCAGGGAGCACUGAUCCAAGGCAAUAAGGCAGACAAAGCGAGCACAGGGAAUACAGGCAGUUGGUGGAGGACUGACAAGUGGUGCACAGUGGGACACAGGAGGCACUCGCUCCCUGCCCCGUGCACUGCAUCAUUACACCUUGCAAAUAACAAACCUCCUCCGUACAGCAGGAUACCCAGACGUGGUGGUGUUCCAUGGAGCAGUGGGCCAUGUCCUGAUGCCCAUGGGCUGCAGUGAGUGGUGCUGGUGGAAGAGCAGAGCCAGCAGUCCUCUGCCCAUGAGCACAGUUGGGAGUACAGCAGUCUGAGGUCAUAAAUGCACAAAAAUGACUUGAAAUAAAAUGGUCUGCAAUUGAAUUGCACAAAACUUUGUCUUGUGCCCAUGAAAAUGUUGGGACAGGUGGCAAAGACAGGUCAGAGAUGGAUGGGUCUGAAACGUUACAUAGAUGGAAGAAAUCAGCAGUGCAGAGAGUCCCAAGAGAAAGAGAUGUCCCCCACAGAGGCAGCUGUUUCUCUACCAUGAAACACGGACAAAACUGAAUUGCUUGAACUGGCUUGUGUGAUCUCCAGUGCCUGAAGCCUCUCCAAACUGGGCUGUACAUUGCUGCUGCUAUACCAGUAUCAAACUACAGUAAUAACAAGCAUCUUUAAGUGCCUUACUUGAUACCAGAUUCAUUACCCUGAGAGUCCUUCCAUAGAAAUAGCUGGGAUAUAUAAUCAGAUCUGUAUUGGUCUUCUUACAAACCGCAGCGUGAAGGACAGCUUGGCUCAGAGGAGGCUGCACUGCAUGCAAAGGAGGGAGAUUAUCCAGAAAGCUAAGUAGUUUCAGAAGCAAUUUCAUCUGUGAAGACAAGAGCAAGCACAAGCCCUCAAGGCCACCGCAGCCCCAUCACCUGUGCCCUGAAGGCACCGAGCUGCUGCACACACCUUCCUCACCACCUCUGUCCUCUCCUGUGUGCUUUGGGACCCACAACGAAAGUCUGAGUUUGGACUUGGGGCAUAAAAU
ensembl:lncRNA